rnacentral:rRNA from 1 species
CGGAGAUAGCUGGUUCUCUCCGAAAUAGCUUUAGGGCUAGCCUUGAAAUAGAUUACCGGAGGUAAAGCACUGAAUUGGCUAGGGGCCGAGAGGUUACUGAACCUUAUCAAACUAAGAAUGCCGGAUAAUCGUUUUUCAGGAGUCAGACAGUGGGAGAUAAGUUUCAUUGUCCAAAGGGAAACAGCCCAGACCCACAGCUAAGGUCCCCAAGUAUAGUUAAGUGGAAAAGGAUGUGGAAUUGCACAGACAACCAGGAUGUUGGCUUAGAAGCAGCCACUCAUUAAAAGAGUGCGUAAUAGCUCACUGGUCGAGUGACUCUGCGCCGAAAAUUUAACGGGGCUAAACUAUACACCGAAGCUUGGGAUACAUCUAAUGUAUGGUAGGAGAGCGUUCUGUAUGGGGAGAAGUCGUAGCGAAAGCGGCGGUGGACUAUACAGAAGUGAGAAUGCCGGAAUAAGUAGCGAGAAUUAAGUGAGAAUCUUAAUGGCCGAAAGUCUAAGGUUUUUGGAGGAAGGUUCGUCCGCUCCAAGUAAGUCGGGAGCUAAGGUCAGGCCGAAAGGCGUAGCCGAUGCACAUACGGUUGAUAUUCCGUAACCAUCUGUAAUUUAAGCAAAGGGACACUUCAAAAGGGUGUGACCCGGGCGUUGGUUGACCCGGGCGUAAGGGACCGAAAUUAGAGUAGGGAAGCACACUUGGCUGAAGGCGAGAAAAGCUUUGCGUAUAGAAACAGAUGCCCGUACCGCAAACCGACACAGGUGGACAGGAAGAGAAUUCUAAGGCCAGCGGGAGAAGGGUAGUUAAGGAACUCGGCAAAUUGACUCCGUAACUUCGGAAUAAGGAGUGCUCGAAAGAGCCGCAGAGAAUAGGCCCAGGCGACUGUUUAGCAAAAACACAGGUCUCUGCCAAAUCGAAAGAUGAAGUAUAGGUGCUGACACCUGCCCGGUGCCGGAAGGUUAAGAGGAGGAGUGAGAGCUCCGAAUUGAAGCCCCGGUAAACGGCGGCCGUAACUAUAACGGUCCUAAGGUAGCGAAAUUCCUUGUCGGGUAAGUUCCGACCCGCACGAAUGGUGUAACGAUCUGGGCACUGUCUCAACUACCCACCCGGCGAAAUUGUAGUACCGGUGAAGAUGCCGGUUACCUGCGGCAAGACGGAAAGACCCCAUGGAGCUUUACUGUAGCCUGAUAUUGGGUUUCGGAAAUCUAUGUACAGGAUAGGCGGGAGACUUGGAAACAUGAGCGUCAGCUUGUGUGGAGUCGAUGUUGGGAUACCGCCCUUAGGUUUCUGGAAUUCUAACCUGCGGCCGUGAAACCGGUCGGGGGACAUUGUCAGGUGGGCAGUUUGACUGGGGCGGUCGCCUCCGAAAAGGUAACGGAGGCGCUCAAAGGUUAGCUCAGCACGGACGGAAACCGUGCCUCUGAGUGUAAACGCAAAAGCUAGCCUAACUGCGAGGGUGACGGCCCGAGCAGUAACGAAAGUUGGAGUUAGUGAUCCGGCGGUAUGUG